CUAUUUUUUAAAAAGAAAACAACGUCUGGAACCUCUGCUUGGUGGUGCCAAUAAAUGCCAUUGUAGGCACUUGGGUUGGUUACCCCUGGUUUACACAUUCCUAAUUUUUGUGUCCAAAAUUGUGCUAUGCAGGGCUUUACAAAUGGAGUAUAUACCAGAAAAAAAUUAAAACCUCUGACAGAUGAUUUGUUUAUUAACCCAAUAGCCCAGUGCACAUAUGCAAUGCUUCUGCAUCUCAUGAAUAAUACCUUGUUGCCUUAUUUUUCCUGUGUUUUAUGACAGUGUUUACAAAACGAAGGAGGUCAGUGAUGGCACAUGAAGGCACUCCUGUCCGACUAGGAGCCGUUAGUGUCCCUUAUGGGCAUGUGAUUGGCCAUGAAAAAUGGAAAGGCUCUCUGGUUGCUCAGGGGAUACAAGGGAAAGUUAAACUAAUUCUAGAAGAUGGCCUGGGAGUCGUAGACUUCCAUCUUUCAAACAGAUCCUGUGUCCUUUAUAUUUCUGAAGCAGACCUGGUUGCAGGAAAUGGCUUCAAAAGGAGACUUGUUCGCUUUAGAAACGCUUGCAAUCUCCAAGGAAUUGUUAUAGUUGAAAAAACCCAGAUAAGCGGUCAAUAUUUUCCAGCAGUGCAAAAAUUUGUUGUCCUGGAACUUGGGAUGACGUUACUUCCAGUGGCAAGCCAAGAAGAAGCAGCACAUCUUAUUAUCCAGCUGGUGCAGGAGCAAACUAAAGAUCAAGCCAGCAACCCCUUUUUGGCUAAGAAAUGUCCCCAGCUCUUAGAGGCUUCUGUAUUCCAAACAGUUCAGCAGAUUCCGGGAGUUGGGAAAACAAAAGCUUUGCUUCUCCUGGAACGGUUUCAAAACCUCCACCAGCUUUGCAACGCAUCCGUCCAGGAGCUUGAGCAAGUAGUUGGACACGCUCUAGCCCAACAAAUCCAUGCGUUUUUUGCACAGGCAAAAUAACCUCACCUGGUUGGGAAGGUGGAAGUGAACCAUGUACGCCAUCUCAAGCUCCUUGCUCAAAGGACAAAGGGACAAGCAACUUAAGAAGAACCAUUGCUGUGGGUGCCUCAAAUGACUCAUCAGAUCAAGGCUCCUGCUGUCACAAUUGCCUGGGGAAAUAUAUUCUCGCAAGUGGUGCUAUGAAACCAACCCUUCCCGCCCCCGAGUUGAUCGCAAGUCUGCGAAGCCUUAUUUAUUGCUGUUGCAUCAGCUUUCAUCCGCACCUGACCUGACCGGCUGCCAGGUUGCUUUUGCGUAAAUCAUCUUGUUUCAGGUGACAUGCUUGGAAACCGGCUGUCUUGGCGCAACCUGAAGAUCACUUUUCUGCCAGGCACCUGGGAUGCUGCCAACCUGAAACACGUAGGAGUGUCAGGGUUAAAAAGGGUGCCUGACUCAGACUUCCUCACCUGCCGGUGGCGUUCUGUAUGCCUUUCGGUGGAGUCAUGCUUUCGUGAAACUCAAAGGUUAUAACCAGGCCCUUCUGGGCAAGGCUCCCAGCCUGCUGUUCGGUUCUCUUCAGAGAAGUGGAUGCCUGGGAGGACAAAUGGAAAGUGAUGCAUCUCUCUUGACUUUUUUACUGCCUGCAGUCCCGUUUUAAAGACAUCCCCUAUGGAUGUUCCUGCAUUUUGGCUAUGGAUGAAUCCACUAAUUUGGUUCCUGUCCCUUGCACAGUAUUUGCCAUUACAAGCACUCAAUUCUAGACAAGCAAAAAAAAAAAGUUGUUUUGCUAAUUAAUUGUGUUUUCCAAUUAGUGGUCCUUUGUUGGUGGAAGGCAUCUGGUAGCUAAAUGAGGGAGGGAUGCAGUUUUCAGUUAUUCUUCCUGUGUGGCCUCCAGUUCUGCUCCAGAAGGUCCCCC